GGUGAACGCUGGCGGCGUGCCUAAUACAUGCAAGUCGAGCGAAUGGAUUAAGAGCUUGCUCUUAUGAAGUUAGCGGCGGACGGGUGAGUAACACGUGGGUAACCUGCCCAUAAGACUGGGAUAACUCCGGGAAACCGGGGCUAAUACCGGAUAACAUUUUGAACCGCAUGGUUCGAAAUGGAAAGGCGGCUUCGGCUGUCACUUAUGGAUGGACCCGCGUCGCAUUAGCUAGUUGGUGAGGUAACGGCUCACCAAGGCAAUGAUGCGUAGCCGACCUGAGAGGGUGAUCGGCCACACUGGGACUGAGACACGGCCCAGACUCCUACGGGAGGCAGCAGUAGGGAAUCUUCCGCAAUGGACGAAAGUCUGACGGAGCAACGCCGCGUGAGUGAUGAAGGCUUUCGGGUCGUAAAACUCUGUUGUUAGGGAAGAACAAGUGCUAGUUGAAUAAGCUGGCACCUUGACGGUACCUAACCAGAAAGCCACGGCUAACUACGUGCCAGCAGCCGCGGUAA
rnacentral:rRNA from 1 species